AUGCUCGCUUUGGCAGCACGUAUACUAAAAUUGGAACGAUAUAAAGAAGAUCAGCAUGGCCCCGUUGUAAGGAUGACACACAAAUUCAUGAAGUGUUCCAUAUUUUU
ensembl:snRNA U6 U6 spliceosomal RNA